rnacentral:tRNA from 1 species
GCGAAAGUGGCGGAACUGGCAGACGCGCAGGAUUCAGGAUCCUGUGGGGUAAAACCCGUGGGGGUUCAAGUCCCCCCUUUCGCA